rnacentral:rRNA from 1 species
GACGAAAGCUGGCGGCGUGCCUAAUACAUGCAAGUAGAACGCAGUUGCGAACGGGUGAGUAACGCGUAGGGAACCUGCCUCAUAGCGGGGGAUAACUAUUGGAAACGAUAGCUAAUACCGCACACUGUGAGAUGGACCUUCGUUGUAUAAGCUAGUUGGUGAGGUAAAGGAUCACCAAGACGACGAUACAUAGCCGACCUGAGAGGGUGAUCGGCCAAACUGGGACUGAAACACGGCCCAGACUCCUACGAGAGGCAGCAGUAGGGAAUCUUCGGCAAUGGACGAAAGUCUGACCGAGCAACGCCGCGUGAGUGAAUAAGGUUGUCGGAUCCUAAAACUCUGUUGUUAGAGAAGCGGUAUCUAACCAGAAAGCCACGGCUAACUACGUGCCAGCACCCGCGGUAAUAC